UGGAGCCCAUACUUUAAUAAUUCAACCAAUGUCAGUUAAUGAAACCCAAGUCCAUUCAAACAUCUCCUUUACACCUCACACUCCUCUCUCCCCAUCUCUCUAAUUCUCUCUAUCUCGACAAAAUUGGAGCAAUUCUCAAUCCGUCAUCGAUUCGUCCUCGUCGUCCAGCCACCGCCGCCACGGUGCGGUCGACGCAGUCGCCGGGUCAGGCUUCGCCCACCUCCUUUGCACGACGUCGCUGCUGCCGUCGGAGUGGAGAAAUUCUGCCGCCGACCCACCGGAAACAGCUGCUGCUGGCCGCGUCCACACCGUCGCUCAGCGCCACUGAUUUCUGCUGCCGUCGCUGAAUCUCGGAUUCUCCGCAACGAUGAAGCCUUCGUCCGACUCGUCGUCGAUCUCCAGCGGCAGCACGCACGUCGGCGAGAACGGAUCGUCUCUGCGCUCCGCCGCGUUCACUUUCCUCACGAAGCUGCUAUGCCGCUGUCACACCCGCAGGUCCGCCUUCACCGUCAGACGAUCCAGCCGGGCCGCCACUUCUGCUGACACCGAGCGUACAGAUCUCUCUCUCUAUCCACAUUCAAAUCCUUGGUCUCUCUCUUUAUUGUAUUUUCCAACAUUUGCUACUGACUUUGAUCUAAAUUCUAACAAUAUUAACUCACUAAAUUAUUGACUACGCGUAAUUGCAUGCUGGCGGUAUUUUUCAUUUUAAUCUGCAUCAAUUGUGUUUUCUUACAAAUUUUGUUUCGUUUCAGUUUUCAAUUCGCAGCAAGGGGGUUUCAAUUUGUGAUGUCCGAUUGGUUUUGAUUGUUGAUUGAGUUAUGUGUGGAAGCAGAAUGCAAAAAUUCUCGUUUUAAAAUUGGGUAGGAAGAAUACCUUGAACAGAUUCCGAAAGAACAACCGGCAGCUCCCUCUCUCGAAUUUGGUUCUCGAUUUCUGCCGGAAGAAGAUUUAAUGAGUUGGUUUGAAUCAUGAAAAAUAAAGGGAACUCCAUUAGAAUUACCUUGAAUUGAAGUUGAGAAGAAUGAGUUUGUGUUUUUCUUGCUGCAGAGACCGAUCAGAAGAAAGAAACUGAUGUGAAGAGUUAAUAUAGAUGGAGGGUGGUUAAAAAUAUGGGAGAGAUUUAGGGAUCACGGAGGAGGAAAAUCUCAUCACGGAGGAGGAAUAUCUCUGCAGAAUCUUUAUUUAAUAUUUGAAUUAAUAUGGAUUGAUGACCAAAUCGACAUGGAGUAUAUUUAAUUGGAUUAAUUUAAUUCAUAGUCCAUUGUAUUUUAUUUUAAA